rnacentral:rRNA from 1 species
UAGGGAAUAUUGCUUAAUGGGCGCAAGCCUGAAGCAGCAACGCCGCGUGUGCGAUGACGGCCUUCGGGUUGUAAAGCACUUUUUGAGGGGAUGAGGAAGGACAGUACCCUCAGAAUAAGUCUCGGCUAACUACGUGCCAGCAGCCGCGGUAAAACGUAGGAGGCGAGCGUUAUCCGGAUUUACUGGGCGUAAAGCGCGUGCAGGCGGCUCGAAAAGUUGGAUGUGAAAGCUCCUGGCUUAACUGGGAGAGGUCGUUCAAUACUUUCGGGCUUGAGGAUGGGAGAGGGAGGUGGAAUUCCGGGUGUAGCGGUGAAAUGCGUAGAUAUGGGGAGGAACACCAGUGGCGAAGGCGGCUUUCUGGACGGUGUCUGACACUGAGGCGCGAAAGCCAGGGGAGCGAACG